AUCCACAUCCAUGCUACUCUGAACAAGCCCAAUCCUGUCUGAUCUUGAAAGCUAAGCAAGGUCGGGCCUGGUUAGUGCUUGGAUGGGAGACCACCUAGGAAGACCGGGUGCUGUAGACG
rnacentral:rRNA from 1 species